AUCGAUCGGCAUGAUCAACUGGUUGUUUUUGUUGAAUCGGUCUCGGAUCUCUCCUUUCUGGGUGUUGGUUUGCACCACUGUGCAUUAAAAUUGGGGCUUUGCAAUCAGCCGACGAGCACGUAAACUGUUAUGAGAACAACUCAAGGACAUGGUCGUUGUACGUUUGAUGGAGUAAUUGUGAUAUGCUCGAUUCAGCCACUUGAACAUGCUAGAAUUGCCUAAUUUCAGCCAUUUACACUGGUUGAAAUUGCCUCAGUUCAGCAGCAAGUUGCUAAGCGCAGUGAUAAUUUGAUGAAAUAAGGGUUUCUCUAUGGUCUGUCUAUUUAAGACCACAAAAAAAGUUAUGCUCGCACAACGAGAUUACCUCUCCUUUGGUUAUGAGGUGAAUUAUAACUGCAAUUGGAUACAGAUCCACCUUUGUCAUGAACGACCAAAAAUCAUUCAGAGCGGGUUGGCUUCACCUCAUCCACCAAAUCCUCAAAUCUCCUUUGAUUUGACCUUUUUUACAUCUUGCUCAAUUCUCAUUAGAUCAUUUUAUUCCCUCACAUAUAACUUUGUCACCACCACAUCCAUGAACUUGACCUCUCUAACCUCCAUCGAGCAAACUUAGAGCAAAUGCUCAUGUGCUUUGGGAACGGGCCUGCUCCAAUAUUAGAUGGUAUGGUGGAAAGAAAAAAGAGGAAUAGAGAAAUCACAUUGGAUUGAUUUAGAGGGUUCUGGUACGAACUUUAGUUAUAUGGGGGAUACUAUUUUCAUAAGGAAAACUAACAUUGUAUCUCAAUUUAAUGAAAGGGUGGCCCAUGAUUAUCAUCUUUUUUGGGUUAUCUAUGGUAUCUAUUAUUUUGCAUGAGAAUUUGGUUAAAUAAAUAGGGACUUGCAAAAUGGGAACUAGGUUUCACGUAUGUUGAUUUAAUUGUAUGGGGAAUAGGGUAUAAGGGUAGGUUGGUCAUUGUACUAUUUUGUUGGAGGUAUUUUGGUUAUUAUCAAGGGUCCGCAACUGGGUUUAAAUGUACUGUACAGACGCUGUUAUUGAUGUUAUUUUGAUUUAUGGAAUUGAAAAACAUUCCCUCCUACUUUGGUGUAGUAGAGAAGGCCCCUACUUUGUGUAGAGGUGCUGCCCUACUUCGAGUACUGACGUGGUUAGGGCUGGAAAGGCUCCUUGUUCCUUUCCCUUACUUGAUGGUGAUCUAGGAUGUUUUCCUCUUGUUGAUCGACCGGCAUGAUCGACGGGUUGUCGUAAUUGAAUCGGUCUCGGAUCUCUCCUUUUUGGGUGUUGGUUUUGCACUGCUGUGCUGACGAGUACGUAAAUUGUUAUGAGAACAACUCAAGGACAUGGUCGUUGUAUGUUUGAUGGAGUAAUUGUGAUAUGCUCAAUUCAGCCACUUAAACAUACUAGAAUUGCCUAAUUUCCCAUUUGCACUCGUUGAAAUUGCCUCAGUUUAGCGGCAAGUUGCUAAGUGCAGUGAUAAUUUGAUGAGAUAAGGGUUUCUCUAUGGUCUGUCUAUUUAAGACCACAAAAAAAAUUAUUCUCACACAACGAGGUUACCUCUCCUUUGGUUAUGAAGUGAAUUAUAACUGCAAUUGGAUACAGAUCCGCCUUUGUCAUGAACGACCAAACAUCAUUCAGAGCAAGUUGGCUUCACCUCAUCCACCAGAUCCUCAAAUCUCCUUGUCCAAUGAUGCGUCUGUCAACUGAACAUUCCAACUGCGAGUGAUGUGCGUGAGGUGGUAAUGUCUGUGCCGGGAACAACGCUGAAUUGCUUCUACGAGAUCGGCCACAUUAGGCUGCCUCGUAAUUCCCCCAUUCACCUCAAGACCAUUUGUGUUGUGCAGAUAAAUUACUACAGAGAAAUUUAUGGGAUUUUGAGAGUAAGACUGCUCCAUACCAUAUGGGUUGUUGCAGUCAGAAUAGAGUAGCAAAUGCUUUGAGUAGAAGGUCGACUCUAUUAACUACCAUGGUGACUGUUAUUACUGGGUUCGAGUUUAUGAAGGAUCUUUAUGCAGAUGAUGACGACUUUAGGGAGGAUAUGGGACCAGUGUUACAGUGAAGUUGUUGAGGAUUUUUUUAUUCAAGAUGGAUUUUUCUAUAGGUUUUCUUAGAGAAACCCUAAUAGCAGAGCUCCAUGGGGGAGGUCUUGGUGGACAUUUUGGUCGAGACAAAACUAUAGUAUUGGUGGAGUCUAAGUACUAUUGGCCAAAAAUGAAGAGAGAUGGUCUAUGGUUUAUUUAGAGGUGUCAUACGUGUCAACUGGCUAAGGGGCAACGACAAAAUACUGAGCUCUACUCUCCACUUCCCAUUCCUAAUGCACCUUGGGAAGUUGUUGGCAUGGAUUUUCUUCUGGGACUUCUGCAGACUCAAAGUGUUAUGGAUUCUAUAUCCAUAUUGGUGGAUAGAUUCUCAGAUGGCUCAUUUUAUACCUCGCAAGAAGACUCUGGAUGCCACAAAUGUUGCUAACUUGUACUUCAAAGAGGUGGUGAGGUUGCAUGGUGUUCCAAAGACGAUAACUUCAAAUCGGGAUACGAUGUUUCUCAGCUAUUUUUGGGUAACUUUGUGGAAGAAAUUGGGCACUCGGUUACAAUUUAGUAGUGCUUAUCAUCCGCAGACUAUAAUAGCGUGUGCAAUAGAUCUAUUGGUAAAAGAAGAAACAAUGGGAUCUAGCACUGCUUCAGAUCGAGUUUGCCUAUAAUAGCCUAUGCAAUAGAUCUACUGGAGUCUGAGGGUAAGCUGAAGGGAAUCUUGGGCUACAUUGAGGACGACGUGGUCUCCAUCAACUUUGUUGUGGAUUGCAGGUUUGUCAGUGCGUGUUGUACGGGUGAAGGGAUAGUUUCGAGGCUUCCUUGCGACAUCUUAUUGUUUGUUUCUUAUUUCUUAGGCUUUUAUAUUUUGAUAUUGUAUUGAAGGGUAGAGGAUUGCAUCAAUUAUGUUGAGGAGUGUUGUUUUUGUUCUGAUUUUCUUUAUUUGUAUGGAGGAAAUGGAGGAACAUGGAAUAAGGAUGGGCUUUUUGCUUUUUAUUUCUUCUUUUUUUAUGGUUGAAAGAUUUGUAUAGAGGGGCCUACGAAGCAAAAGAAAAUGUAAAUGAGGUGUGCGUGAGUGUGUGUUUUUCUUUUUCUUUUAGAUUUUUUUCCGACUUUUGAAGCUGACGAGUAUGGCAUUUGUGUGCCCAUCAUGGAUGGUUUGGUUGUUCAUUAGCAAACAGGAGAUCUAUGACUAGAUAAAGGCUGCCAUCAAGGACAAGUUUGAGGGUAAGCUGAAGGGGCUACACAGAGGAUGAUGCAGACUGACUUUCUUGUUAAUAGCAGG